CUAAGAAUAUUCCGCAAUGGACGAAAGUCUGACGGAGCGACGCCGCGUGGAUGAAGAAGGCCCAAAGGUUGUAAAGUUCUUUUGCUAGGGGAGAAUAAGUGAGGGAGGGAAUGCCCUCAUGAUGACAAGGACUAGCGAAUAAGCCCCGGCCAACUACGUGCCAGCAGCCGCGGUAACACGUCGGGGGCGAGCGUUGUUCGGAAUUACUGGGCGUAAAGGGCAUGUAGGCGGCUUGGUAAGCCUGGCGUGAAAGACUGCAGCUUAACUGUAGGGAUGCGUUCGGAACUGCUUAGCUGGAGUUACGGAGAGGGAGCUGGAAUUCCUGGUGUAGGGGUGAAAUCUGUAGAUAUCAGGAAGAACACCGAUGGCGAAGGCAAGCUUCUGGUCGAUAACUGACGCUGAGGUGCGAAAGUGUGGGGAUCAAACA
rnacentral:rRNA from 1 species